GCCUUCGUGAUGUAGUGGUCAGCACGCUGGGCGCGUAUUCCAGAGGUCCGUGGUUCGAGUCCCGGCGAAGGCA
rnacentral:tRNA from 1 species